rnacentral:lncRNA from 1 species
CAUGAGACCGGGCAUCAAGGACAGCCAGCCUGAAGGUGAAGCCCCCGAGGACAGCCAGAAAGCUGGAAGCGCCUGGGACUGUCACACCCCGGGCCAGGAGGUCCGCCCGGCGCCCUCGCGCUUUGGACCGGAGCUAACCGAGGCCUGGCAACCGAGGCCAGCCCAGUUCUGCACUCUGCUGAGGACUUCUCAGACUCCGCCCCAAGGCUCUGUGGACUGCAAGUGAAGUGACCACAGUGUCCUGGCCGGUAGGGUGACACAGAAGGAAAAAGCCCUUCUGUUAACUCAUCUAGAAUAUCUCCUGGAUCUUCACUGUCUCACUGGAUGGAAGCAUUUCCAGCUUCUCUCUACACACUCCUGGGCCACAAGCUCAGCUCUUGCACCCUGAAGCCGAUGUGAAGUAAAACAAGGGUG